UACGGAGGGUGCGAGCGUUGUUCGGAAUCACUGGGCGUAAAGCGCGUGUAGGCGGCCAUUUAAGUCUGGUGUGAAAGCCCUGGGCUCACCCCAGGAAGUGCACUGGAAACUGGGUGGCUGGGGUACCGGAGAGGAGGGUGGAAUUCCUGGUGUAGCGGUGAAAUGCGUAGAUAUCAGGAGGAACACCGGUGGCGAAGGCGUCCCUCUGGCCGGAUACUGGCGCUGAGACGCGAAAGCGUGGGGAGCCAAAGUG
rnacentral:rRNA from 1 species